rnacentral:rRNA from 1 species
ACUGCUUAGAGUUUAAGCCCGAUGAACCUGAAUAUCCAUUAUAGAAAAUUCAGCACUAAUGAAAUGAUAUAUAUUAAAAAAUAUUGUAGAAAUAGUGUGCAAUUUUUCUAUAUAAGGACAUUGUAAUCUGUUAAUGUAAUAAAUACUUAUCAAAAGAUCCAUUACUUAAGUUUAUUUAAAUUAGUUAUUUUCGAAUUUCUAACAUAAAAUAAAUGUUUUGGAUUUGAUAAAUCAUUGACAGAUAUAAUUAUAUAAUGUGCUUAAAUUCUUUUGAAUUUUAUAAUGGUAGAUAGAUCUAUUGAUUUAUUUAUUUAAUUAUAUGCGCUAUUAUGAUUAACAAUGCGAUAGAUUCAGGAUACCUUCGGGACCCGUCUUGAAACACGGACCAAGGAGUCUAACAUAUGUGCAAGUCAUUGGGUAUUUUUAAUAAAACCCAUUGGCAUAAUUAACUUAACUGUUAUUAUAAUGGAAUUAGUUUAUAUUUUAUUUAAAAUACGAAUUCAAUUCCGGGGCGUUCUAUAUAGUUAUACAUAAUGAUAUUUAUAUUAUUUAUGCCUCUAACUAGAGC